rnacentral:lncRNA from 1 species
GAAAGAAGAGUGACUUAAGGAGGCUUUCAUGCAUCGAGAAUUACGUGUGCACAUGCAUAUACAUACAUGGAUCGGACUGCACGUCGCAGUAGCAUAUUGCAUGGAUCAGACUUCACAUCGCAGUGGCAUAUUGCAUGGAUCGGACUGCACGCCGUAGUAACAUAUUGCAUGGAUCGGACUGCACGCUGCAGUAGCAUAUUGCAUGGAUCGGAAUGCACGCCGUAGUAGUAUAUUAUAUGGAUCGAACUGCAUGUCGCAGUAUUAUAACGCUUGGGCUGUAUGUCCCUCGGAGUCUAUACACACCCCUAGUGAGCACAGGGUACCCAUGGAUCGGGAUACGCGUCGUAGCGGUCAUGUGGCAAUGCACUGCAUUCACGCAUUCACUCCUGUUUGUACUACGUGGCAUGACAUUUAGC